AUGUCAAAUAUUGCAAUGUUCACUCCCCAUAAUUCCAGUUUGGCUUUGACUGCAGCCACUUUAUCUGCUGACUUGAACAGAGUUGUCAUCCUCCCCUGAAGUGACAGAUUGAGUUCAUUGACCAAGUUAACUAUC